AUAACGUUUUAAGCCCGGGGUUGAAAUCGUCCAUGUAAUCGCAAAAAAUUUCAACCCGUUUAACAGGGCUGAGUUCAACCCCGGGGUUGAGAAUGCUCCAUGUAAUCGGCCCCUUAGUUUAAUUCUCUCUUCUUUCGCCGCCUUCGUCUUUUCGCGCCCGCGGACCUUAAUUGUCAGCGAUCAUAUAUACUUCGUGAAACGUCAUGUAGAGUGAUAGUAUAAUGACUCCAAGCAGUUUAAAAUGUUUACAGAAUUUCGAGAGAAGAAAU